AUGGCUUACCAUCUAAGAUCUGCAAGCGCGCCUUCCAGCCCUCGCUCAAACAAACCCCAAGUAGAGCAGCAGCUCCAGAGCCUGAGCGCAACCAUCUCUUCGCCCUUGGCGACCAUCGAUACGACUUGCGAAGGUUUGAGGAAGCUGGCAGACAUAUACAGCUGCAUUGAGGAGAUGAUGUGCGCACCCAGCAACCAAGUCAGCCUCUGCAGGACCCUGCAAAGGGUGGCAGUGGAGGCAGAGCUAGGGCGGUCCCUCGUCGUGCUCGACCUCUGCAACGCCAUGCAGGAGACCUUGAUGGAGCUGAAGAUGACUGUCCAAGAGCUCUUGUUGGUUCUCAAGAGAGGAGAGGACACAACUUGCCAAGUCAAGGCAUACAUCCGUCUAGCCAAGAAAGCACAAAAGCAGUUCAAGAAGAUCAGCAAGAAGACUACUUCCGACAAGAACGAUUCUAGGGUGGUGAUGCUAAUGGCAGAAGCGAGAGAGAUCACCAUUUCACUUCUCGAAUCCACAUCCUGCAUCUUGUUGAAGCAAAUUGAGAUGCCCAAGUGGUCUCUUGUCUCCAAAACAUUGCAGAAGAGCAAAGUUCUGUGCGAAGAGGAGCAAUUGCGGGCAUUGGAGUGCAGUAUCGAAGAUCUUGAGAGCGGAGUGGAACUUCUGUACAGGAGAUUGAUCCAGAACAGAGUUUCUCUUCUCAAUGCUCUUAGUUUGUAG
rnacentral:rRNA from 1 species